AUUGAACGCUGGCGGCAUGCUUUACACAUGCAAGUCGAACGGCAGCGCGGGCUUCGGCCUGGCGGCGAGUGGCGAACGGGUGAGUAAUACAUCGGAACGUGCCCAGUAGUGGGGGAUAGCUUGGCGAAAGCCGGAUUAAUACCGCAUACGACCUGAGGGUGAAAGCGGGGGAUCUUCGGACCUCGCGCUAUUGGAGCGGCCGAUGGCAGAUUAGCUAGUUGGUGGGGUAAAGGCCUACCAAGGCGACGAUCUGUAGCUGGUCUGAGAGGACGACCAGCCACACUGGGACUGAGACACGGCCCAGACUCCUACGGGAGGCAGCAGUGGGGAAUUUUGGACAAUGGGCGAAAGCCUGAUCCAGCAAUGCCGCGUGUGUGAUGAAGGCCUUCGGGUUGUAAAGCACUUUUGGCGGGAACGAAAAGGACUGUGCCAAUACCACGGUUCGAUGACGGUACCCGCAGAAUAAGCACCGGCUGACUACGUG
rnacentral:rRNA from 1 species